AAUCCGGUUGAUCCUGCCGGACCUGACUGCUAUCGGAUUGAUACUAAGCCAUGCGAGUCGUUGUAGUAAUACAAGGCAGACGGCUCAGUAACGCGUAGUCAAUCUACCCUAUGGACGGAAAUAACCUCGGGAAACUGAGAAUAAUGUCCGAUAGAACAUUAUGCCUGGAAUGGUUUAUGUUUCAAAUGAUUUAUCGCCGUAGGAUGGGACUGCGUCCUAUCAGUUUGUUGGUGAGGUAAUGGCCCACCAAGACUAUUACAGGUACGGGCUCUGAGAGGAGUAGCCCGGAGAUGGGUACUGAGACACGGACCCAGGCCCUAUGGGGCGCAGCAGGCGAGAAAACUUUGCAAUGUGCGAAAGCACGACAAGGUUAAUCCGAGUGGUUUCUGCUAAAGAAACCUUUUGUCAGUCCUAGAAACACUGGCGAAUAAGGGGUGGGCAAGUUCUGGUGUCAGCCGCCGCGGUAAAACCAGCACCUCAAGUGGUCAGGAUGAUUAUUGGGCCUAAAGCAUCCGUAGCUUGCUUUGUAAGUUCUCGGUUAAAUCCAUGCGCUUAACGUAUGGGCUGCCGGCAAUACUGCAAAGCUAGGGAGUGGGAGAGGUAGACGGUACUCGGUAGGAAGGGGUAAAAUCCUUUGAUCUAUUGAUGACCACCUGUGGCGAAGGCGGUCUACCAGAACACGUCCGACGGUGAGGGAUGAAAGCUGGGGGAGCAAACCGGAUUAGAUACCCGGGUAGUCCCAGCUGUAAACUAUGCAAACUCAGUGAUGCAUUGGCUUGUGGCCAAUGCAGUGCUGCAGGGAAGUCGUUAAGUUUGCCGCCUGGGAAGUACGUACGCAAGUAUGAAACUUAAAGGAAUUGGCGGGGGAGCACCACAAGGGGUGAAGCUGCGGUUCAAUUGGAGUCAACGCCAGAAAUCUUACCCGGAGAGACAGCAGAAUGAAGGUCAAGCUGAAGACUUUACCAGACAAGCUGAGAGGUGGUGCAUGGCCGUCGCCAGCUCGUGCCGUGAGAUGUCCUGUUAAGUCAGGUAACGAGCGAGACC
rnacentral:rRNA from 1 species